GUGAAUCAUCAAAUUUUUGAACGCAAAUUGCACUCUCUUCGGAGAGUAUGCUGUUUGAGGGUCCGCCUUAAAAAAAUCGACAUAGUCGCUGUUUCGCGGUGACAUUCGGCGGGAAUUGGGUUAUUUUUAACCUUUGGGGUUUUAGCGGCUUAAAAUUUUUUUUACGAUUCCAAGAACGUUUUUAAGAUUUACUUCUUACAAGUUUAAGGUAA
rnacentral:misc_RNA from 1 species